GCCGCCGCCAUCUUGGGCGGGAAGGAAUAGCGCCUCGGCCGUGAGCUGCCCCCGGAGCCGCCCUGAGCGGGAGGGAGGGCCGGGGGUGGCUCGGCCCAUCCCGACCCUGCAGUGGCACCUCGUGGACGACGCGUGCUCCAGGCAGGACAGCUGCCUCGUGAGGGUGUUUUGUAGAGAAGUUCUUUGUGGAUGAUCCCGGGUUUGUGCUCGCGCCUGUGGCUCUAUGCUCGCCCAGAGGUAAUUCAGGAUCGACACGUUUUUAACCACCUCUCACUACGCAGCACAUGGAAGGGAAUUAGUUACAUGCUUCAGUCUGAAGAGUUGCAGGUCAGCCUGGAGAAGCUAUGGCAGAAGGGCUGUCACCAGAAACACUAUCAACACAAGGAGCCCCUUCCACCUUCUGUGUCAGAAUUUUUUGUGUGUACACAUUCAGUCAUCCAGAGCAGUAUUUUCCAAAUCUAGCCGGCUGCUCGGCAGCUCACCUGAUCCUCUAGGAUUUCCAGCCGUUGAUGGAUGCUGUCAGGGAGGAAGGGUGGCUGGCAAGGUUCUGAAGAGCUGUGGAGCAAGGAGAGGCCUACCAGAUGCGACCUUCAAUUGUUUUCCUGGAUGAGAUCGAUGCUCUUGCUCCUGUAUGGUCCAGUAAACAAAACCAGGUUCAUGGGUGGCUCAUGUCUUGUAUCUGUAUAGAAGGUGCUUCCUCUUUGUUAAAAGAAGACCACAACUUAUUUAACUUGAUGUGACACCUUCAUUUAACCUGAAAAGUAGUAAUUCAGUGCUAGUGAAUUUCAAAUCAUUUUUAAAUGAGAAUUGAAAACAAUUCACUAAGCUUGAAAUCAGCCCAAGGUCUGUGUUAUCUGUAUUUAGUAUCUUAAAAUGAGUCUUUUGCAAAUCAGCAUCUCAUCAUUAAAAGCUUGUCCUUUUUGAGGGAUCAGUGGAAAUGGUUAUGUGGAACUGAAGAAAAUUUCUUAAACCAGUGAAUGAAAAUUGUAUUUUUCUGUUAGCUCAGUUGUUGGAACACUUCUGGCACUAGUGGAUGGCUUUGCCAGCGGAAAGGUUGUGGUAAUCAGAGCCAUCAGCGGACUGGAAUCUGUAGAUCCUGCUUUACAAAGACCCGGACACUUGGUGCGAGAAUACCACUUCAAGUUGCCAAACAAAGAGGUCAGAACUUCAACUCAGCCUUAGUGCUUUUGAGGCAAAGUCCAUCUUUAUAACAAACACCUGUAACAAGGCAGCAUCACAGGGCAGUGCAAGUUUCCAUCAGCAGUGUCCAGCUUGGACACCAGAGAGCUGUCUGGAGACUGCAUUUACUGUGGAGGCCAGACCUGGUUCUGGAUAUGUGUGAGUAAGAUGAUUCCAACAGGUAGUUAUUUCUCUGAUAAUUUUUGGUUUUACUGUGACCAGUGAUGGAAAUAGGCUGCUGCCAGACACCAAAAUGUUUAAAAAAGAAUGAGUUCAUGAAUUAAUUAUAAAGUAUGGCUGUAGCAUCUUGAAGGCAAAAAAAAAUGUACACACAAUAAUUUCUUUGUAGUAACAAAAGUUUUGAUCAAGGCUGGUGCUGGAGCAAAUCAAGUGUGUUGGGCUCUGAUGUUCUUGCUUGUAUGUAUUAACAGAGACUUGGACUAAGAUGUAAAGCACACUGCAAGGCUUGGGAACCUUCUAGCUCAUUGGCAACAGCUAAGCAAGAAAAUGGAUAUGUAGCAACCAAAAAGUUUUGAGAUGGGGAUGGUGUGUGGGGAACAGUGUGCAAAAUUGAAACCCUGGUUUUGUGGUUUUUCUCUGGCUAUCGCUAAUAAUUUUUAGCACUUUCUGGAAAAAAAAGAUAAAAGACUUCUUGAAUCGAAGGCUAGUAAAAGUGCAUUUCCAUAAAGAUCUGCACUCAACCCAGCUUUCCCACACCAGCACUCUGUGUCUCUUGGGACUCAGUGCCUGCUCCAGGGGGCAAGCAUGGAGUAACAAGGGUGGUCUGAGUCAGGGGGUGUCCCUGCAGCCUCCUCGUGGCUCCAGUCCCAUCCUGUCAUGUUCAGGCAGUACAUGAGAGGACACUAGACUGAAACUAUCACUAGAAGCUGGAAAUUAGAUCAAGGUGCUCCAGCCCCAGCUGUCCCUGGACAGGGACAAUUCCUGUCCUUUCUGUCCAUGAGAAGAGACAGUGCAUGGUGUUAAAAACCCACUAUGGAAUGGUCCUGGAGGGACUGGGAGAGACUGCAGGCAACCAGGGAGACACAAGGUGUCGUAGGAGCUUCUCAAAGGAUGCUGAUUCCAACCCAGGGACCCUGCAAUCCCAUGCUACAUCCCAACCUACUACCAUCCCCCCCAUAUACUCACCCCUUUGGGGACCAUACCUUGCAAGUCCAUCCCAGCACCCUGUGCCUGCUGAGCCAGCAUUCCUGAGACCCUCCCACUCAACCAGCCCUGUUCCACUACUGUGUCCCUGCCUUAAUCAGUAAAUGCUGGACUGAUGCCAGAGGGAUGUGUGUUUCCUGGGUGUCCCCAUGCACUGGCUAUGUGUCCCUUGGUGUCAAGUCAGUCAGAAAACACCCAUGUCUUGAUGGGCUUGGGUGUCCUAUGGAUCUGUAUGUCUAAAAGUAGCAUGCAUCUCCAGGGAUGGAAGAACUGAUGAAUGAGAAAAUACUUAAUUUUUAAAUCAUCAUUCCAUAAAGUGACAGGAUUUCACCUGUUGAUCAUAUUUUUCUUUUUCUUUGUUGUUCUUUUGUUUUUUCCCCAUGUUUGUGGUUUUGGCGCUUUUCCAGUUCUCUUCCAUUUCCAAUGUGUUGCUUCCUGUGCCGCUGCUGCUCCUUUUUCUUUCUCUUUUUCUUGCUGCCUUGACUCUCUAGAGCUGGCACUGCUACUCUGCCUUCCAGCUUGACUCUCUAAAGGCUGAGGCUACAUUAAUCUGCACACACAAAAUAAAUUAUAUUAAUUCAAACAGU